rnacentral:rRNA from 1 species
ACUGUCAAAUCACGCUGAAAACACCGAUUCUCGUUCGAUCACCGAAGUUAAGCAUCGUAGAGCCAGGUCAGUACUUAGAUGGGGGGACCGCUUGGGAACACCUGGUACUGUAAG